UACGUAGGGGGCAAGCGUUGUCCGGAUUUAUUGGGCGUAAAGAGCGUGUAGGCGGUUUGGUAGGUCCGCUGUGAAAACUCGAGGCUCAACCUCGAGACGCCGGUGGAAACCAUCAGACUAGAGUCCGGAAGAGGAGAGUGGAAUUCCUGGUGUAGCGGUGAAAUGCGCAGAUAUCAGGAGGAACACCGAUGGCGAAGGCAGAUCUCUGGGCCGUAACUGACGCUGAGGAGCGAAAGCGUGGGGAGCGAACAGG
rnacentral:rRNA from 1 species